rnacentral:rRNA from 1 species
CCUACGUGCGGCAGCAGUGGGGAAUAUUGGACAAUGGGCGAAAGCCUGAUCCAGCCAUGCCGCGUGUGUGAAGAAGGCCUUCGGGUUGUAAAGCACUUUCAGUGGGGAAGAAAGCCUUGGGGCUAAUACCCUCGAGGAAGGACAUCACCCACAGAAGAAGCACCGGCUAACUCCGUGCCAGCAGCCGCGGUAAUACGGAGGGUGCGAGCGUUAAUCGGAAUUACUGUGCGUAAAGCGCGCGUAGGCGGUCUGAUAAGCCGGUUGUGAAAGCCCCGGGCUCAACCUGGGAACGGCAUCCGGAACUGUCAGGCUAGAGUGCAGGAGAGGAAGGUAGAAUUCCCGGUGUAGCGGUGAAAUGCGUAGAGAUCGGGAGGAAUACCAGUGGCGAAGGCGGCCUUCUGGACUGACACUGACGCUGAGGUGCGAAAGCGUGGGUAGCAAACAGGAUUAGAUACCCGAGUAGUC